UUGAAAGAGUCUUGAAUGGCCGUAGAGACGCACAAAACCACCAUUUUUUACGCAUUUUCACUGAUUGUUUGUUUAUACCGAAAAAAACGCGAGAGGGUGCACUAACAAGAUCACGUCCGGGUCACCAAUGUUCGAAUUUGAGUCUCAAGUACCCCAGCGUCAAACACGCGGCUCGCGAGAAUCUAGCGGUGUUAUACACGUGGGUGCUGAAUAUGCGUGGAGAGGGGUUGAAACACAAAAACCACACAGACAUGAUUACUAUAAAUGAACACAAAACUUUAUUAUCAAAAAUGUAUAAACUAAAUAAAAAUGGUGAAAAGAAUCGUAGUGAUGGCAGGCACAUCGACUAGUCGCGAGGUAGCGUAGACAAAGAGUGAGGAAAAAUCGGAGAAAGCGGAAAAGCGCGCGUUUGUAGGAGGUGUGAACCGGUGCCUACGUAAAAGCGCUAGAAAGUCGCACGCGGUACGAGUGUAUGCUUUCAUUCAUGGUGCUGCCGCCUGCCGGACGGCAGAGCAGGCUCCAUGGACUGUGGCGUCUCCGACGAGGGUGCCACAAGACUAAAGAAAUAUGGCGCCACAGUGAGUGACAGUGGUGACAGAAUUUCCUAGUUUUUCAAUAACUUCUGCUGAUGAGAUGCAGCAACAGGAGGAGAAGAUAUCAAUUAAAAAGAGUAGCAUCAGAGGGUGUAUUAACGAAAACAACAGGAUGUUCUUCUUCCCCCAAGAGAGAAAGGAUAAAAAGAGGAUGGCACAGUGGGUGGAAGUAUGUAACAACCCAAAGUCGGUGCUUCCACCUGGAAACUGAAAUUCUGGGUGAUCUGUAGCAGCUACUUUAGAGAAAAGUACUUCAUGAGGAAAAGAUUAACAACAUCAGCAGUUCCAACACUGAACUUAUUUGAGGUUGUAAUAAAUAUUGCAUGUCAGAGGCUGCCUCUAUUAAAAUAGAGCAACAAGAUACCUGGAUGCAAAUGAAAAGAAGAAGAAGAUUCAGUUUACAUAUACAAUAUAUAAAACCAUUAACAUGGUAUUAAUAUAUUAAGUAUAAUUUGUGAGCGGAGUGUG